AGCUUUAGGAAAAGAUCUAAAGUUAGACCUGCCCAAUGUAAAUGUAUGAAUGGCCGCGGUACUUUGACCGUGCUAAGGUAGCGCAAUCAAUUGGCUUUUAAUUGGAGCCAGGUAUGAAUGGAGUCACGGGGUUUAGCUGUCUCUUAGUUAAUAGAUUGAAGUUACUAUUAAGGUGAAAAAGCCUUAGUUUGUAAGGGGGACGAGAAGACCCUUAGAGUUUUUCUUAGAGUAGGCUAGUGCUUACUAAUAGUUUAGUUGGGGCAACAUAGGAUCAUGCUUAAACAUCCUUUACAAUAAUUGACCGAUUAUAAUAAAUAUGAAUAAACUACCUUAGGGAUAACAGCAUAAUUUUAUAAAUAAGUUUGUGACCUCGAUGUUGGACUAGGAAAUUGACUAGCUAGCCGCUUUUUAAGAAAGUUCUGUUCGAACUGUAAUUCCU
rnacentral:rRNA from 1 species